GGAAGUUCUGCGGCCGCCCGCGGUGCUCUGGAAGAAGGGCUGUAUGAGCGGUGACGCCCCCUCUGAAUGCCUCGCUCGGAUUGGCCUACUUCUUGGAUCAGACUGGACGGUGGCCAGAGGAGGACAAGAGAGUUCCAUACGGUCUGGAGGGACGAUUUGGGUCACAUCUGAGAAGGAGUUGCACAUCAACAAGCGUCCAGGCUCCAGGGACAUGGCGGCGGCCUCUGUGAUGUCGGUGCUGCUGAUGGCGACUGAGAGGAACCGGUGGCAGCGAGUCCAGAGCCUGCUGCUGCUGCUGCCGCCCAGGCAACGGUUGUGUCCCUUUCUGCCUUAA
rnacentral:lncRNA from 1 species